GGUGCGCUGGCAGCGAGAAAAGGAUACCGCUGUUAUGUUGCCAUCAUUUACAAACAGUUGAAAAGCACUGUUUCCAUUACGGUGGUUUGCUUUAUCCAUAGAGCGUUCGGCGGUAAAGAGAGGCGGCCGAGUCGCCAAAGACGUGCCGGGAAGGCAACUAGUCUUCCUCACGGGCCCGUUUUUGAAUGUACCGACGGUCCCCAACUUGCGACACCUACUAAACGUGCGACUCCGCACGUCUGGAGACUCGGAAGGCGACAGGUCUCAUGUGUUCUCGCACGUGCUACAAGCCGUUCAAAGGUGGAGCAAAACGGACUUGAAUCAGCUGUCCUGACUCCUGAUGAUACGGAGAACAGUUUAAGCGAUGAUGUGUUGAGCGCCAAGUAGUGUUGAAUCCAACCUAGCCAUCGACAAACUGGAACACCUGCAAGAAAUUGGGUUUGGUGUUAAUAACGGAACAGGCAAGCCCGCCGGCUAAGCGGAACAAGGGCGUUACCUCGGACGAGAGCGUCUCGGCUUCACGUGAGUCCGUCCCUGAGUUUGGGAUAUG
rnacentral:lncRNA from 1 species